rnacentral:rRNA from 1 species
GACGAACGCUGGCGGCGUGCUUAACACAUGCAAGUCGAACGGAAAGGCCCUGCUUUUGUGGGGUGCUCGAGUGGCGAACGGGUGAGUAACACGUGAGUAACCUGCCCUUGACUUUGGGAUAACUUCAGGAAACUGGGGCUAAUACCGGAUAGGAGCUCCUGCUGCAUGGUGGGGGUUGGAAAGUUUCGGCGGUUGGGGAUGGACUCGCGGCUUAUCAGCUUGUUGGUGGGGUAGUGGCUUACCGAGGCUUUGACGGGUAGCCGGCCUGAGAGGGUGACCGGCCACAUUGGGACUGAGAUACGGACCAGACUCCUACGGUAGGCAGCAGUGGGGAAUAUUGCACAAUGGGCGGAAGCCUGAUGCAGCAACGCCGCGUGCGGGAUGACGGCCUUCGGGUUGUAAACCGCUUUCGCCUGUGACGAAGCGUGAGUGACGGUAAUGGGUAAAGAAGCACCGGCUAACUACGUG